rnacentral:sRNA from 1 species
AAAAAAAAUGAUUAAGCUUUAGUAGAAUGCUAAAGGUAAGUCCCAAUCUAUGCAUACAGAGAUAAGAUCCCAUCUACCCAGAGUACAUCAAAUGAAGCUCUAAUGGUAAUCCUAUCUCCAAUCCCAAUACAAGAACUAAACUCUACCCUUUGCGUUCAUGAAUCUUUUAAGCCCUUUUUCUAAUCAUUCUUUUCUCUUCUCUUAACUCUAGGCGAAGCUUCAACACCUUGAUAUAUCUAGCGGAUUUGGAUUUCUUUAACAACUAAGGUUCCUGUUUUUAACAUUUUAAAACCAAGGGCUUUUGCCCAUCUUCAAUAGCUAACAAGAACUCUUUCUUUUCUUUACAAAUCCCAAAACCUUUACUAGACUUUUUCUGCUUUUUUAGCUUACUUCACCUAGAGUCCUUUACCUUUUCUCAUCAAUUAAUCAACCUCCCCUUUUUUUUUUCUUUUAAACACAUCCCAACCCAAAGUAUAAGCACCCACCUAGUCCUAUCUAGUCCGGAAAAUGCGAACUAGAACUACAUGAGACACUAUCUCUGUCGUUACGAACCUAACACUUUCUACCAAGCUUAAUCGGAAUAAGACCUCACAAACACUCACAAGUGAUAUAGGGCUUGAAAGAAAGUCUAGGUUUGGGUUUGGGUUAACUGCUCUAAUAAGGAGAGUCAGCUACUUGGAUUAACAAGAGUGAUCAAAAUGAAUAAGAGAAUCCAAGUAUUUUAGGGUAUCCAUGAGUUCAAAUUUGAUGCAGACAUGAUAAUUAAAGAUCAGAUUCAGGUUCAAAUUGAUAGGGAAUGGUAUCAGAUCAUGACAGUGUGGUCGAGUGAGAGCAAUCUAGGCAUGGUUCAGUUUUAUUUCAAAUUCAUCGACUAUGCAACAGACUACUAGCAACGAGGGCACUGAGUUUAUCCGGUGAAUCAAAAUGCUUACAAGGCUAUCUCAUCAUCAUCCCCUAUGCAUAUGCAACAAUCCUAAAUGAAACACUCUAGACUCGAUCCUAAAUGUGAUGCAACUACAUGAACAUUCUUUUUUUU